CGUAAUGCGCAUGCAAUCUACUUUACACUGGGGAAUAGCCUCCGGAAACGGGAAUUAAUACCCCAUAUAAUCUUACUGGCGCAUGCUAGAAAGAUGAAAGCUCAGGCGGUGUAAAAUGAGCGUGCGUCCUAUUAGCUAGUUGGAGAGGUAAUGGCUCACCAAGGCUACGAUGGGUAGGGGUUCUUAGUGGAAGGUCCCCCACACUGGCACUGAGAUACGGGCCAG
rnacentral:rRNA from 1 species